GACGAACGCUGGCGGCGUGCCUAAUACAUGCAAGUAGAACGCACAGUUUAUACCGUAGCUUGCUACACCAUAGACUGUGAGUUGCGAACGGGUGAGUAACGCGUAGGUAACCUGCCUGGUAGCGGGGGAUAACUAUUGCAAACGAUAGCUAAUACCGCAUAAUAUUAAUUAUUGCAUGAUAAUUAAUUGAAAGGUGCAAUUGCACCACUACCAGAUGGACCUGCGUUGUAUUAGCUAGUAGGUGAGGUAACGGCUCACCUAGGCGACGAUACAUAGCCGACCUGAGAGGGUGAUCGGCCACACUGGGACUGAGACACGGCCCAGACUCCUACGGGAGGCAGCAGUAGGGAAUCUUCGGCAAUGGACGAAAGUCUGACCGAGCAACGCCGCGUGAGUGAAGAAGGUUUUCGGAUCGUAAAGCUCUGUUGUAAGAGAAGAACGGGUGUGAGAGUGGAAAGUUCACACUGUGACGGUAUCUUACCAGAAAGGGACGGCUAACUACGUG
rnacentral:rRNA from 1 species